CCAAGGCCUACUACAAUGACCCGAUGAUGUCUACUACUCCAAGGCAAGACAGAAUUGAAUAUUGUACAAACUCUGUUACUCUGCCCUGGUGUCCCAUUUGUGGAGAGUCAUUGUAAUGUAUGGACAGAAUUGAACCCUUCUGUAACACUCAAAAUUUUAGUAGCUAGUGGAAAAAGGGAAAGCAUGAAGGCUUUGGAUUUCUUUUCUAUCACAGCCAUAAACAACCCCAAUGGCCUCCCACGAAGUUGAUAAUGCAGAGCUGGGGUCAGCCUCUGCCCAUGGUACCCCAGGCAGUGAGGCGGGACCAGAAGAGCUGAAUACUUCUGUCUACCAGCCCAUAGAUGGAUCACCAGAUUAUCAGAAAGCAAAAUUACAAGUUCUUGGGUCUAUUCAA
rnacentral:lncRNA from 1 species